AUUGGGGCGUUUGGUCGUGACGCCACAACUGCAGGGUCAUGUGGUGCCGAAUAAAAGCCUACAUAAACUAUACUUUAAAACUAUAACAAACUGUAAUUAAAAACAAGGUAAAUGAAGGACUGACGACGACAAUGUGUGAGAGGUUUCCCUGUGAAGAAGAGUGAUGUGAUUUUGUCGAGAGGUUUCCCUGUGAAGAAGAGUGAUGUGAUUUUGUCGAGAGGUUUCCCUGUGAAGAAGAGUGAUGUGAUUUUGUCGAGAGGUUUCCCUGUGAAGAAUAGUGUUGUGAUUUUGUCGAGAGGUUUCCUGGUGAAGAAUAGUGAUGUGAUUUUGUCGAGAGGCUUCCUGGUGAAGAAUAGUGUUGUGAUUUUGUCGAGAGGUUUCCCUGUGAAGAAUAGUGAUGUGAUUUUGUCGAGAGGUUUCCCUGUGAAGAAUAGUGUUGUGAUUUUGUCGAGAGGUUUCCCUGUGAAGAAUAGUGUUGUGAUUUUGUCGAGAGGUUUCCUGGUGAAGAAUAGUGUUGUGAUUUUGUCGAGAGGUUUCCUGGUGAAGAAUAGUGUUGUGAUUUUGUCGAGAGGUUUCCUGGUGAUGAAUAGUGAUGUGAUUUUGUCGAGAGGUUUCCUAGUGAAGAAUAGUGUUGUGAUUUUGUCGAGAGGUUUCCUGGUGAAGAAUAGUGUUGUGAUUUUGUCGAGAGGUUUCCUGGUGAAGAAUAGUGUUGUGAUUUUGUCGAGAGGUUUCCUGGUGAAGAAUAGUGUUGUGAUUUUGUCGAGAGGUUUCCUGGUGAAGAAUAGUGUUGUGAUUUUGUCGAGAGGUUUCCUGGUGAAGAAUAGUGAUAUGAUUUUGUCGAGAGGUUUCCUAGUGAAGAAUAGUGUUGUGAUUUUGUGGAUAUUUCCUAAAACUGAAAACUGACACUGAAGCAGAAAUAAAUAUGUGAAAGGGCAGCAAAAAAUGAAAAACAGGUUAAAUAAAUACACAGGACAGCAAAAAAUUAAAUAAAUGUUAACAGAGCAAAAAAUAUUAAAAAAAGGUAAAAUAAAUAUGAAAAAUAAAGGCAGAUAUAAAGAACCAAAUAUACUAAACAGAACUAUAAAUAACCCACACUUGGUAGUCCCUCAACAACUCCUAAAACAAAAAUGCCACGGGACCCAAAACAACACACACAAACACACAAGAACCAGAGACAAUGUAACAAAACU